CACACUCUGGCUCUCCCUCUGCCUUAGGCUCACACAGAUCCCAGCUGCUCACGGAAGGUGCCACCUCUGUCUCUUUAGCAGAGUUUUCGGCUUGGCAAACAUCCAUCCGCCUGCACUAGGAGAGCAAUUCCUCACCUCCUCUUGCCUUUGCCUCCCCUAAGAAUAUGGAAACGAGAAGGUUACUGCUUAAUGAUGGGAGCUGUUAUCAGUAACAGCAAUAACUCCAUCUGUUUCUGAAGCUUCAAGUCUCCAAAAACACUUGCACAUGUGUAAUCUCAUUCAAGGGAUGUUCCCUUCCUGGAAGAGCUGAGGAAUAUGUACACCAAGAGAACAAAAAAAAACCCAACUUAAUCCUUUACAUCUUAGAGUCUCUUAAAGACGAUUUGUUUCCAACAAAUCCAAACCGCCGGCCGUGUGGAUCUUUUCCAGUUCUUGCAACGACACCUCAGCGUCCAUAUGUCUCAGCGUUCACACCUUCUCACAUCCCUCGACUUAAUAAGCUUCUAUUUCCAAGGGAAUGGUCGGUAAGUUUUGUUUGUUUUGUUUUCUCCAUGGCAAGUGUAGCUGCUGGCCCUCAACAAGCUGAAGCAAGGCUUCCCUGGGCUCUGUAACAGACACUGUGGUCAGGAGUUAAAGCAUAUGCCUGGCUUCCACAUAUCGAAAAUCCAGGAGGAAACACAAAACUCCUCUGAAGUGAAAGGUAAUGAAAUGUGACAUGGAGUAGGAACGACAAGAGGAAUGCUAGAGGAGGUUCUGGAAGACUGCUCUGGAAGGGAAAGCUAGCCUGGCUAGGAGGGACGAGAGAGUCUUCAUGGACUGUGUCCAAUGUCUCCUAGGACAUGCCAGUUCCAAGAAAGCAAAGAGGGAAGAUGAGCUUGUAUUAGGCAGUCAAGAAGUGGUCAUGGAAUUCCUAGAGGAGAGGCCUCAGCUAUGUGGGUCACAUGCGUUGAACUAAAGGAGUGGAAAAAUUGCGCAUGGCCAGGGAGAUAGCUCAACUGGCCAAGUCCUUUGCCCCACACUUAUGACGACUUGAGCUCAGAUUUCCAGUACCCACCACCCAUGAAAGAGCGGGCACCUCUAUUCCCACUGGGGAGACAAAAGGGAUCCCUGGAGCAUGCAAGCCAGCCAAACUCACUGAAUCAGGGAGCUUCAGGUUCAUGAAGAGCCCUUGUCUCAUAAAAUAAGGUGCAGAGCAACUGAGGUAGACAUCUGAUGUCAACUUCUGACUUCCACACAUGCAUGUUUGCAUCAAACCUGCACUCACAUUGCACAGGAACACAUGCACAUACAAAGCAAUUAAUUACUUAAAGAUGUACACCCAUUGGGCCAGAGUCAAAGCUGGUCAAAAGUUAAAAUCAUGAGAAAGAACUUUCUUGGUUGUAAGCUAUAUUCUGGCUAUUUCCUCUGGUGACGCCCUGUGAGAUGGAGGAAAAGGGGACUCUGGGUAGAGGACAUCUUCUAAUGAGGUCAAGCUAAGUUGAUGGACACUGCAGCCAGGGACUGCAGCAGGAAAGAGGAGGGAGAUGGCUACAUGAGCCCUGUGGCCAAUAGGCACAUGCCAGGGCCUGUGUGCCACUCUGCGGGAGUCCAGAGGACUGGCUGGAGAGGACUCCAGAGAUACCAACCAGAGUGCCCAGGGGAUAAAUGACCAUGGAUCCUAUGGAUUGCUGCAGACUGGCUGGGUUGGGCAGCAAGAGGAUGACAUUGGUCAGAUGUGCAAGAGGACAGACAGUUGGGCUCCGGAGUCAGUAUAGCAGCCCUGAGAAAACUCAUCGAGGGCCAUGCCAAUGAAGCCAUCCAUACCGAAGUGACAAGAAGUGACAACUGAAAUCCAAAAGGACAGCUCCAGCGGAGAGGGUUCUGACUCAGCAUAGGGGCCAGGCACAGGAAGAGCCACGGAGAAGGUACAGCCAAUCGGGUCUAUGAUGGAGCAUGCACUGGGCCAGAGUCCCAACCCCAAAGCUGGUCAAAAGUCAAAAUCACGAGAAAGAACUUUCCCAGUUGACAGCUACAUUCUGUUUCCUCUGUUUCCAGCAGGAAAGGAGCAAGGCUUCCAGAACAGUGGCCACGAGUGUCCCAUGUAUCCCUUUGGCUAGAUGGAGAACUGUAGAAAUUAAUUUUGAAUAUUGUUUCAUGUGUGGAGUCGGACUCAGCAGCUCAAGAUGGUCUUUGUCCACCUUCUGACUGCAGUUGAGCUAUAAAGUAUUUGGAACAGGCUCAGUCUAUCAACCAUUUUACUUUGUUGGCACUGCAAUGCUCCGGCUUUUCUGUGUGCUCGUG